rnacentral:rRNA from 1 species
AGAGUUUGAUCAUGGCUCAGGAUGAACGCUGGCGGCGUGCCUAACACAUGCAAGUCGAGCGAUUCUCUUCGGAGAAGAGCGGCGGACGGGUGAGUAACGCGUGGGUAACCUGCCCUGUACACACGGAUAACAUACCGAAAGGUAUGCUAAUACGAGAUAAUAUGCUUUUAUCGCAUGGUAGAAGUAUCAAAGCUUUUGCGGUACAGGAUGGACCCGCGUCUGAUUAGCUAGUUGGUAAGGUAACGGCUUACCAAGGCGACGAUCAGUAGCCGACCUGAGAGGGUGAUCGGCCACAUUGGAACUGAGACACGGUCCAAACUCCUACGGGAGGCAGCAGUGGGGAAUAUUGCACAAUGGGCGAAAGCCUGAUGCAGCAACGCCGCGUGAGCGAUGAAGGCCUUCGGGUCGUAAAGCUCUGUCCUCAAGGAAGAUAAUGACGGUACUUGAGGAGGAAGCCCCGGCUAACUACGUGCCAGCAGCCGCGGUAAUACGUAGGGGGCUAGCGUUAUCCGGAAUUACUGGGCGUAAAGGGUGCGUAGGUGGUUUCUUAAGUCAGAGGUGAAAGGCUACGGCUCAACCGUAGUAAGCCUUUGAAACUGGGAAACUUGAGUGCAGGAGAGGAGAGUGGAAUUCCUAGUGUAGCGGUGAAAUGCGUAGAUAUUAGGAGGAACACCAGUUGCGAAGGCGGCUCUCUGGACUGUAACUGACACUGAGGCACGAAAGCGUGGGGAGCAAACAGGAUUUAGAUACCCUGGUAGUCCACGCCGUAAACGAUGAGUACUAGCUGUCGGAGGUUACCCCCUUCGGUGGCGCAGCUAACGCAUUAAGUACUCCGCCUGGGAAGUACGCUCGCAAGAGUGAAACUCAAAGGAAUUGACGGGGACCCGCACAAGUAGCGGAGCAUGUGGUUUAAUUCGAAGCAACGCGAAGAACCUUACCUAAGCUUGACAUCCUUUUGACCGAUGCCUAAUCGCAUCUUUCCCUUCGGGGACAGAAGUGACAGGUGGUGCAUGGUUGUCGUCAGCUCGUGUCGUGAGAUGUUGGGUUAAGUCCCGCAACGAGCGCAACCCUUGCCUUUAGUUGCCAGCAUUAAGUUGGGCACUCUAGAGGGACUGCCAGGGAUAACCUGGAGGAAGGUGGGGAUGACGUCAAAUCAUCAUGCCCCUUAUGCUUAGGGCUACACACGUGCUACAAUGGGUGGUACAGAGGGCAGCCAAGUCGUGAGGCGGAGCUAAUCCCUUAAAGCCAUUCUCAGUUCGGAUUGUAGGCUGAAACUCGCCUACAUGAAGCUGGAGUUACUAGUAAUCGCAGAUCAGAAUGCUGCGGUGAAUGCGUUCCCGGGUCUUGUACACACCGCCCGUCACACCACGGGAGUUGGGGGCGCCCGAAGCCGGAUUGCUAACCUUUUGGAAGCGUCCGUCGAAGGUGAAAUCAAUAACUGGGGUGAAGUCGUAACAAGGUAGCCGUA